CCUACGGGUGGCAGCAGUGGGGAAUAUUGGACAAUGGGGGCAACCCUGAUCCAGCCAUGUCGCGUGUGUGAAGAAGGCCCUCGGGUUGUAAAGCACUUUCAGUGAGGAAGAACGCCUGGUGGUUAAUACCCAUCAGGAAAGACAUCACUCACAGAAGAAGCACCGGCUAACUCCGUGCCAGCAGCCGCGGUAAUACGGAGGGUGCGAGCGUUAAUCGGAAUUACUGGGCGUAAAGCGCGCGUAGGUGGCUUGAUAAGCCGGUUGUGAAAGCCCCGGGCUCAACCUGGGAACGGCAUCCGGAACUGUCAAGCUAGAGUGCAGGAGAGGAAGGUAGAAUUCCCGGUGUAGCGGUGAAAUGCGUAGAGAUCGGGAGGAAUACCAGUGGCGAAGGCGGCCUUCUGGACUGACACUGACACUGAGGUGCGAAAGCGUGGGUAGCAAACAGGAUUAGAUACCCUGGUAGUC
rnacentral:rRNA from 1 species